CCCGCUGAACUUAAGCAUAUCAAUAAGCGGAGGAAAAGAAACUAACAAGGAUUCCCCUAGUAACGGCGAGUGAAGCGGGAAGAGCUCAAGCUUAAAAUCUCCGUGCAAGUUUUGCGCGGCGAAUUGUAGUCUAUAGAGGCGUGGUCAGCGUGGGCGCUUGGGGCAAGUUCCUUGGAAGAGGACAGCAUGGAGGGUGAUACUCCCGUUCAUCCCUGAGUGGCUCGUGCGUACGACCCGUGUUCUUUGAGUCGCGUUGUUUGGGAAUGCAGCGCAAAGUAGGUGGUAAAUUCCAUCUAAAGCUAAAUAUUGGUGCGAGACCGAUAGCGAACAAGUACCGUGAGGGAAAGAUGAAAAGAACUUUGAAAAGAGAGUUAAAGAGUACCUGAAACUGCUGAAAGGGAACCGAAUCGUUUCCAGUGUCUAUAAUCCGUGGCAUAUUUCAUUGGCGAGUGUGCGCGUGCGUGUGCUGUGGCAGUGGCUUUUUUGGCUGCGCUCGGUGUGUGUGCUGUGUGUGCUUGCUGGUGCCCUGUGCUGCGGUGGGACGUCAAGGUCAGUUCGUAUGCUGCGGGAAAUGGCUGCCGAGGAGGUAGGGCUUACGCUCCGCGUUUGUCUGUUAUAUCUUGGUGGACGAGUCGUCGCGGUUGGGACUGAGGUGCCUACAACGUGCUUUUGAGUGGGUUUGUGUCUCCGUGUGCGCCGUGUGCGGAUAGCUUGCUAUGCGUGUGUGGUUGUGUGUGGAUUGAUGCGGGCUUUAACUUGUCGCCGUUCGGGACGUUGACGAAAUGGAGCGAUCCGACCCGUCUUGAAACACGGACCAAGGAGUCUAACAUGUGUGCAAGUGUUAGGGUGUGGAAACCCCAGCGCGAAAUGAAAGUGAAGGGCAGCGCAAGUUGUCUGAGGUAGGAAACGUUGCGGGCUUCGGUCUGCGGCGUGGCACUAUCGACCGAUCAUGAACCUUCGUGGUGAAAGAUUUGAGUUUGAGCACAUAUGUUGGUACCCGAAAGAUGGUGAACUAUGCCUGAGUAGGGUGAAGCCAGGGGAAACUCUGGUGGAAGCUCGUAGCGAUUCUGACGUGCAAAUCGAUCGUCAAACUUGGGUAUAGGGGCGAAAGACUAAUCGAACCAUCUAGUAGCUGGUUCCCUCCGAAAUUUCCCUCAGGAUAGCAGCAACUUAUUUACGAUAGUUUUAUGAGGUAAAGCGAAUGAUUAGAGGAUUCGGGGAAGAAACUUCCUCGACCUAUUCUCAAACUUUAAAUCUGUAAGACCUGCAGGUUUCUUAAUUGAACUUGCGGAUGUGAAUAUCAAGUUGCUAGUGGGCCAUACGGGGUAAGCUCGUCUGGCG
rnacentral:rRNA from 1 species